GGUGGUCGGUGGAGAGAGGAAAUGGGUUAUUGGUUGGGCUCGUUUGGGCUCGUGAGCUGCUCAGGCUCGAGCUCGGGCUCAGGCUCAGAUUUAAACGGGCCUCAUUUUGGGCUCGGGCUCGGGCUCGUUUGACUAACGAGCCGAGCCCGAGCCGGGCUUUUACCGAGCCGGGCCCGAGCCGAGCCCGAGCAGCUCGGCCCGUUGACAGCUCUAGGUCAUGCGCCAUGCAAUAAUUUUGGUUUAUUUAAAAUUCAUGAAAUCCAAUUCCAUGUCACCACUAAUUGCCACAUCAUCUGAAACUAAUCCCCUUGGGUUGCACCUAAUCAAAUUUGGUCAAACCCGGAUUAAAACAAAGCAAUUUGGUUGAACCCAAUCUAAUCAGGUCAGACCCUCAUUGAGCUCAAAUUGAAUCCAAUUCAAUUUUUGGCUCAUCCAAACUCAAUCAAAUUGAAUUAAUUACUUUUUAUUGGACCUAAUCCAAUUAGGUCAAUCCCCAAUUAAGCGCAAAUUAAUUUAAAAAUUAAUUUAGAUCAGCUUAAGUCCUUUUUGGUUCGGACCUAAUCCAAUCGGGUCAAAACCCUGAUUGAGCCCAAAGUUGAAUCCAAUCAAUUUGGCUCAUCCUUAGCUCAAUUACUCAAUCAAAUUGAAUUCAUUAGCAAUCUAAUUACUAAUUAAU
rnacentral:lncRNA from 1 species